rnacentral:rRNA from 1 species
GAUGAACGCUAGCGGGAGGCCUAACACAUGCAAGCCGAGGGAGAAGUUGUUUUCGGACUACGGACACCGGCGGACGGGUGCGUAACAUGUAUGCAACUUGCCUCUAUCAGUGGGAUAACCCGGGGAAACCCGGACUAAUACCGCAUAACAAAUGGAUCAGCAUUGAUUUAUUUUAAAAGAUUUAUCGGCUAGUGAUAGGCAUGCGUAGGAUUAGUUAGUUGGUGAGGUAACGGCUCACCAAGACGAUGAUCCUUAGGGGGCCUGAGAGGGUGAUCCCCCACACUGGUACUGAGACACAGACCAGACUCCUACGGGAGGCAGCAGUGAGGAAUAUUGGGCAAUGGGUGAGAGCCUGAUCCAGCCAUCCCGCGUACAAGAAGACGGCGCUAUGAGAUGUAUACUGCUUUUAUACAGGAAUAGACCUACUCACGUGUGAGUAGUUGACGGUACUGAAAGAAUAAGCAACGGCUAACUCCGUG